rnacentral:lncRNA from 1 species
AUUAUCAUCAUCAUCUUCUUAUUGCUUUCUUAUUGUAAUUAUAAAAACAAAUACAUGCUCCAAGCGAAAGUUCUUGUAUGCACCUAGGUACAAGUGAACCAAUAGUUAUAAUUUAAUCUGAACCGUUGAUUUGAUCUGGUUUUAUAAAUUUACUAACUUUGAUAUUAACACUGUUAAAUGACACUAACAACGAUGCUAACACCGCUAAGAAUAAAAACCAAAAAAAAAAAAGAAGUCAAACGUGGUAAAAACGUGAUAAAAGCACAAAACAGUUAAAUAUUUAGCUAAUCAAAUUAAACCAAGAUAAUUUUCCAUUCAAAAAUUGUCUCUUUGUAGAAUUUAUAAGUCUGNNNNNNNNNNNNNNNNNNNNUACUAUAUAUAUAUAUAUAUAUAUAUAUAUAUAUAUAUAUAUAUAUAUAUAUAUGAGGCUGUGGCUUGCGAAUUUUAUUACUUUUUGAUUUAUGUAUGUCACUCUUAAAUGUUAAGUUAAUUUUUUAUGGACAGGAUAAAAUAUAAAUCGUUGUAUACAAUAGGACUAGCUGAUAUGAAUAUGUAACAUUUAUCCGCAGUCGGCAUAAAAAUCAAAGGUUGAUUUCAUUUUUCGGAAGGGCCACCGCAAGCAAGAUUUCUUCACGAUAGAGAUGGUUUAAUCCAUUUCUAAUGGUGCAAGGCCUCCACCAAAAGCUCUACGCGGAUAGCUUUUGCAUGGAGAUUUGAAGUCUUGAACUAUAUAUAUCACUUUCCCACGACUAAAGUAGAUAUUCUAGUCUAGCCAAUAUGGAAUUCAAGUUCCUUUCCCAUUAGUGAACGAAAGAGCUAGGCAUAAUGGCAUCACAAUGUGAAGCAAGGCCAUCAAGAAGGAAUUGAAUAUGCUUCAAAAGGUGGUUAACCCCUUACCUGUCGGUGCAACCUUGGUGUGGCGUGGUGCAGCUGAGGCCAAGAACUGAACACAAACCCAACCCUUUACAGCUACUAUAUCACAGUAGUACACAGACUAGACUUGAGGCAAACACCAACCCAACCCUUCCCCACCUUCCCCUUUUUUGCAGUUUGUGAAAAGAGACCAACCAACCAACCGCCCAAAACACAGUCGGGAGAGAUCUGAGUACAGCUCAGUUUAGGCAAGAUGACAAUGCCCAAAAGCCUCGUAUCAGAAUAGGAAUUCUUUAGUGUCAUAAUGAAAUGAGAGACUGAAUCUCGAUCACACCAUUGCGUGGUGUAGAAGCAACCGGAUCACUACUUUUGCAGUGACAUUUCGUUUUCCUAAGCUAGCUGUACGUACAAGCAUAAUUACCAAGCUCACAAUCGCAACCGCGCAGGCAUGAGACUUCAUUAACAUUAGCCUCGAUCUUCAGACAGGCCAUGUGAGAUACAAUUAUUUACGGUGUGUAUCGUCGACACAUUUCCAGAAUUGAUUUGUCGAAAGUUCUUGUAUGCACCUAGGUACAAGUGAACCAAUAGUUAUAAUUUAAUCUGAACCGUUGAUUUGAUCUGGUUUUAUAAAUUCACUAACUUUGAUAUUAACAUUGUUAAAUGACACUAACAACGAUGCUAACACCGUUAAGAAUAGAAACCCAAAAAAAAGAGUCAAACGUGGUAAAAACGUGAUAAAAGCACAAAACAGUUAAAUAUUUAGCUAAUCAAAUUAAACCAAGAUAAUUUUCCAUUCAAAAAUUGUCUCUUUGUAGAAUUUAUAAGUCUGUUGAGUAUCCUCUCUCUCUCUCAUCAGCGGCGACCCGAUGGCGAUGGAGCAUGAUGAGCCUGCAGGUGCGACCAAUAAGGCGGUCGUAAUAUGGCUCCUCCGGCGCACAACAGCACGGCUCUCCCACAAUAAUUUUGAGGGUCAUACAAGGUCAUCGACAACGUCACGCAGCCAGAGCCAAGCGGAUCCCACUGGUUGGUGUCGGGAUGGACGGCGACAGACGUACGUAGUGCAGGUGGGUGAGAUAGGGGUUCGAUCUGGGAGAUAGGAAUGGUGCAGAUGGGUGGACGUGUGGGAAACUGGGAAUGAUGAGGUGUCUUGGGCCUGAACCUUAUGGCCUCCGGUUCUUCUAGUUUUUUCAUAAUUAAAUAUAAUAGAGAUUACUUAAAAAAUUAUUCAAAAAAGAAAUAUAUAUAUAUAUAUAUAUUUGAUAAAUUAAAAGUGAUCAUAUAUAGCAUAUAGCAUUUUAAUUCAAAUGUAUAUAAAGAUUAUCUGCAAAAUUAAUAAUACUGAAACUAAAAAUUGAUGAAUUUGAUAAAGAAUUGAACAUUUACCGCAUAGCAAAUGAAUUUUGUAAACGCUUUGCUCUUUUCUCGGGAAUAAAUAAAGGAUAUGGACAAAAUCGAUAAAAUGGAAGAAAUUCUUACUCAUAAAAUAAUUGAUUAAGAAAAUUAGACCACAUUUAAAAUUUUAAAAAAUCAGCUGUAUGAUGUGAUAGUUAUAGUGAAAUACGGUCAUGGUAGAAAAAUUAAAUAUUUUCGAUAACAUUUUAGCCUCGAUAAGGCGGUCAACUCUAUUUACGCUUAUUCUUUUUAAUGGAGAGCCCUAUCAUCAUGAGGUAAACUUUAUCAAAUGUUUACAUGGGCUGUUACAUCUCUUUUGCAUGAGUGUGUGCGUAGAUGAAUUGACCAGAAUAAGUAAUAAUGGGUUGGGUGAGAAUGUUUUCGUGUGAUAUGGGACAUCGAUUUAGGGUUGACCGUGUGGAUCGAGACACAUAUAUUAUAAAAAAUAGGUGAAUUUUUUUUCAUAGCCAUAUCCAACUACACUGAUUACAUCAAACGGUCAUACUUUGAUUUUAUAAAAUUUAAUUAUUAGGAUCCCAACGUGCCUACUAAUGUGGUGUAACUUGUUUAGUAGGUAUUAUGUAAAUGUACAUAUUUAUGAAGCAACUAUAUCUUGCAAAUAGAAUUUUGAAAAAUCGGCCGUAAGAUGUCAUAUGUAUAGGGGAAUACGGCUAUGGUAGAAAAAUCACAUAUUUUCGAUAACGUUUAGGCCCCGAUCAAGACAGUCAACCAUAUUUACUCGUAUUCUCUCGUAUGGGGGCCUUAUCGUUGGGAGGUAAACUUUCCC